rnacentral:rRNA from 1 species
GACGAACGCUGGCGGCGUGCUUAACACAUGCAAGUCGAACGGAAAGACCCUGCUUUUGUGGGGUGCUCGAGUGGCGAACGGGUGAGUAACACGUGAGUAACCUGCCCUUGACUUUGGGAUAACUUCAGGAAACUGGGGCUAAUACCGGAUAGGAGCUCCUGCUGCAUGGUGGGGGUUGGAAAGUUUCGGCGGUUGGGGAUGGACUGGCGGCUUAUCAGCUUGUUGGUGGGGUAGUGGCUUACCAAGGCUUUGACGGGUAGUCGGCCUGAGAGGGUGAACGGCCACAUUGGGACUGAGAUACGGCCCAGACUCCUACGGGAGGCAGCGGUGGGGAAUAUUGCACAGUGGGCGGAAGCCUGAUGCAGCAACGCCGCGUGCGGGAUGACGGCCUUCGGGUUGUAAACCGCUUUCGCCUGUGACGAAGCGUGAGUGACGGUAAUGGGUAAAGAAGCACCGGCUAACUACGUG